AAAAAAAAAAAAAAGAAUAACUGAGAUUGACUUAUAAAUGACCUCCUAAUAGAGUAGCACUGUAUCAUUCAGAAGGAAACUGUGAUAUGUCCAACAUGUAGUCAAAGCGUUGUUUACAGUGCACAAAAAUAAUGUGGGAGUUCACUCUGGGCUGCCUAUAUAAUGAGCCUGUGGGACCAGAGUUUCACUGUUUUUUCCAGAAGAGUAAAUGAAACUCCAGAUUGUCUUCUCUGGGACUAAUGAUGCCCAAGAUCUCUCGGUGCUGAGUAGCUGGCUUUCUUUGGCAAUUCCUAACACAAAAACCAGCCAAGAAGCCACCAAAGGGAUUGAUACAGUUUGGCCGUGUCCCCUUCCAAAUAUCAUCUUGAAUUCCCACAUAUUGUGGGAGGGACCCGGUGGGAGGUAAUUGAAUCAUUGGGGCAGGUAUUUCCCAUGCUGUUCUCAUGAUAGUGAGUAAGUCUCACAAGAUCUGAUGGUUAUAUAAAAAUGAGAGUUUCCCUGCACAAGCCCUUCUCUUGUCUGCUGCCAUGUGAGAUGUGCCUUUCACCUUCCGCCAUGAUUGUGAGGCUUCCCCAGCCACAUGGAACUGUAAGUCCAAUAAACCUCUUUCUUUUGUAAGUUGCCCAGUCUCAGGUACAUCUUUAUCAGCAGCAUGAAAAUGGACUAAUACAGGGAUCUAAUUAGUGUGCUCAUGAUUUCCGUAUAAAAAGGGAGAACUACCAGAGAAGUGAGUUCUCCUCUAGACAGACACACCUCCCAUGCAUGGCCAGCCAAAUACCUUGUCCCUGGCUUCCUUUGACCCUCUCUGCAUCAAGAGGAAAUCUGGGAACCUGUGGCUUCUCCUCCUUGAUGACUCUUGGCUUGUAAGUUUCUGCUUUCUUAAUAAAGUUUAUUCUUUAAUUCAUGGUUUUGGGGAGUUCCCAAGACCAUCAUCCAGUAUGACAAUUUGCUAGAAGGACUCACGGAUCUCAGGAAAUCUGUUUAUUCAGGGAUAUGGUUUAUUACUACAAAAUGAUAUAAACAAAAUCAGCAAAAUAAAAGGAGCAUAUGGCAGAAUCAAGGAAAGCCCAGGCACAAGUUUCAGCCGUCCUCUUCUAAUGGAGUUGUAGAGAUGGUGCUUAAUUCUUACAGCAAGGAUGUAUGACAGCAGGUAUAAAGUGCCACCCACCAGGGAAGCCCCCCUGAGCCUUGCUGUCCAGGAGUUUUAUUGGGAGUCACUCAUCAUGGAGUGCCCAUGUGGCUGACCUUUGUACUUCAGACUCCAGCUUCUCCAGAGGUCAGAUGGUUAACAUGUCACCCAAGGCCCACACCAUAAAUGACACUGAUAGGACAGACUAUCUGAUGUGGCUCAAGGCCCCAGGAAAGUGCACCCUUUUAUCAGGCAGGAUGUUCCAAGGGCUUGGAGGUUAUCUCCCAGGAACCAUUCAAAACCCAAGCCUUUCUUUAGAAUGUGCAGGAUCUGAGCAACUGCUGAGCAUUCAGACCUGCUGGGCCAACAUUUUGAUGCACACAUACUGUGUGAUUUUGUCAAAUUCAUCCUCAGCCUUUGCACAAUAGGUGAUGACUGUUAAGGAACCAAGAUCACCUGACAUAAAGAUAAAUCUGCUUAUUCUUUUUUUUUUUUAAGACGGGUCUCACCCUGUCACCCAGACUGGAGUGUAGUGGCACAAUCUCGGCUCACUGCAACCUCUGCCUCCCAGGCUAAAGCAAUUCUCGUGCCUCAGCUUCCCAAGUAGCUGGGAUUACAGGUGCCUGCCACCAUGCCCAGCUAAUUUUUGUGUUUUUUGCAGAGAUGGGGUUUCACCAUGUUGGCCAGGCUCAUUCUGACUAUCAGAAAUGGAGCUAGUUUCCUUCUCCAGCUGUAGAAGAAAGCUGGCUCAAGUGAUAUUUGUUGUGGCAAAUUAAUCAACAAGAGCAUGAUAAGUUCAUUCACAAACUGAGCAAACUCAGUUUUCUAUAAUCAACAUAUUAUAUAGUCAAAUGAACAAUAAAAAAUUUCUGGGCCAGGCGCGGUGGCUCACGCCUGUAAUCCCAGCACUUUGGGAGGCCGAGGCAGGCGGAUCACAGGGUCAGGAGUUCGAGACCAGCCUGGCCAACAUGGUGAAACCUUGUCUCUACUAAAAAUACAAAAAAUUAGCUGGGCAUGGUGGCAGACAGCUGUAAUCUCAGCUACUCAGGAGGCUGAGGCAGGAGAAUUGCUUGAACCCAGGAGGUGGAGGUUGCAAUGAGCCAAGAUCGUCCCACCGCACUCCAGCCUGGGCAACAGAGCUAGACUC
rnacentral:lncRNA from 1 species